GCCGAUGUGAUGCAACUGGCAGACAUCAUUGCCCGAGAUGCAAUGUUCUGGUGGUUCGAAUCCACUCAUCGGCACCA
rnacentral:tRNA from 1 species